rnacentral:sRNA from 1 species
GGAGUUUUAGACACACAGACUGGAAUUGAACUAACGGAAGGGCACCCCGGGAAAACUGUGGGGCGAGACAAGGAGGAUGGGGGGACCAGCCGUCGCCCUGCUCUCGUGUUUAUCAUCACAGCCUCUUUGAGGUGUAAAUGACACGCAAUAAGCUGUGCAUGUUCAAUAGUGUGUUUAUUGCCGGCUUUCCUGAGUACACCCAGCCAAUGAUAGACCACCUGGUUACCCUGAAGAUCAACCACUGGGAUGGGGUCAUCCGAGAGCUGGCUGCGAAGGCGCUGCACAACCUGGCCCAGCAAGCACCCGAGUUCAGCGCCACGCAAGUUCUCCCGAGGCUGCUGUCCAUGACACUGAGUCCAGAUCUACACACGAGGCAUGGGUCGAUUCUCGCCUGCGCGGAAGUUGCCUACGCCUUGUACAAACUUGCAGCCCGAGAGAACAGGCCCGUCACGGACCAUCUGGACGAGCAGGCAGUGCAGGGCCUGAAGCAGAUUCACCAGCAGCCGUGCAUCUGCAGCUGGGGUCUGAUGUCUCCUGAAAGUAAAGCAGAAUUUUGUGUGUGCGUCUCUCGGAUUUCUCUGGGGAGAUGGUCUGUUCAUCUUUCUGGGCUUUGAGAGAUUCUCAAAGGCUUCUGUGACCCAGAGCUCUAUGAUCGUCAGUUAUACAGGGGUCUGGGAGGACAGCUCAUGAGACAAGCAGUGUGCGUUUUAAUAGAAAAGUUGUCACUUUCCAAAAUGCCCUUUAGAGGUGACAUCGUAAUUGAUGGUUGGCAGUGGCUGAUAAAUGACACUUUGAGACAUCUCCAUCUCAUCUCAAGUCACUCCCGACAGCAGAUCAAGGAUGCAGCAGUCUCGGCCCUGGCUGCUCUAUGCAGUGAAUAUUACGUGAAGGAGCCGGGGGAGGCAGAUCCCGCAAUUCAGGAGGAGCUGAUCACGCAGUACCUGGCUGAGCUUUGGAACCCCGAGGAGAUGACUCGCUGUGGCUUCUCGUUGGCCUUGGGCGCCCUUCCAGGCUUCCUUCUGAAAGGCCGGCUCCAGCAGGUUCUCACAGGUUUAAGAGCAGUUACCCACACUUCCCCCAAGGACGUAAGCUUUGCUGAGUCCAGGAGAGAUGGCUUGAAGGCCAUUGCUAGGAUUUGCCAGACUGUCGGUGUGAAAGCAGGAGCCCCGGACGAAGCUGUGUGCAGAGAGAACGUUUCCCAGAUUUACUGUGCGCUGCUGAGCUGCAUGGACGACUACACCACGGACAGCAGAGGGGAUGUGGGUGCCUGGGUCCGCAAGGCUGCCAUGACCAGUCUGAUGGAUCUGACACUUCUGCUGGCUCGGAGCCAGCCUGAGCUGAUCGAGGCCCAUAUCUGUGAGCGCAUCAUGUGCUGUGUGGCCCAGCAGGCCAGUGAGAAGAUUGACCGUUUCCGUGCUCACGCCGCCAGCGUGUUCCUGACACUCCUGCACUUUGACAGCCCUCCCAUCCCCCACGUGCCCCACCGAGGAGAACUGGAAAAGCUGUUUCCCAGGUCCGACGUGGCCUCCGUGAACUGGAAUGCACCUUCCCAGGCCUUCCCACGCAUCACCCAGCUCCUUGGGCUGCCCACCUACCGCUACCACGUCCUGCUGGGGCUGGUCGUGUCCCUGGGUGGCUUGACGGAGUCGACGGUGAGGAGGCAUCGGGCUGGCUGGGGCAGGAGGUGGUGGCUCUAGGGGUGCCUGGUGCUUCCCCGUCUCUUGGGAGCGUGUAUGGAGCUGGGCCUUUUUUUCCAUUGCUUUCUAUCUCUCUCGGGCAUAUUUGGUUAGGGGGUCAGGGGCCCAGUGUCUUCCUCAUGACCCAGGAGGCUUAGGGCCUGUGGGAUGGUUGAGUCUGAUGAAGGUGGAACAGCAUGUUGAGUGGAGGCCAGCAGCAGACUUUGAAGUGGGCCGGCGCCACUCUCUUCCUGUGGCCGCAGCCCUGGAGCUCCCAGCAUCCCCUCGGGGUUCAACCCUCCAGGA